AGAUAUGAGGGUAAUCGAGCUGUCAGCCAUUAUCGCCAGUGUUGAUUUGGUUGAUCUGCGUGGCUAGGCACCUGUCUCUUCCUCCCUCAGCACCCGAGCCUCGUCCUUUCUGAAGCUGUGUAGUUGGUGAAAAGAAAGAUCUUCCCUGAUAGAGGAGGGCUAGUCUUUAUCAAGAGCAUAUGAACAGCUGCACCUCAAACCUCCAAGCAAACUCUCUCAGGGUGUUUGAUUGGCCUUUCCCUGCUUUAACAGGGCAGUUUGUCGUAUUGAUUGUACUUGCAACUUGAAACAUUUAUGAGAAGGCCUCAUAAAUGUU
rnacentral:sRNA from 1 species